rnacentral:lncRNA from 1 species
AUGGCCUCUGGUUUUUGUAUUUCCAGGGUGCUGUUGCUCUCACUGUUGGCCUUCAGCAAGCAUGCUGAGUCUCUUACUUACAGGAGUACCUACUCCAGUGGUAUUAAGCCUUACUCUGGGAUGGCUGAGAAUUUUCCACACAACCAGAAUCCUGUUUUCAGACAUAAGAGCUAUGCACAACCCCGAAGUUCUCUGGGUGUUUAUGGGCCUGAACAUGGGUCACCUGAGAAUUCUUACCCCACUGCUGCAGGUAUGCCUGGUGGUGCUGGUGCUUCCUCUGGUGGGCCAUUAAAUGGUUACCAUCAACAAGGAAGCAUGUCUAGCUACAGAUCUGGCUCAUCACAUUACCAGGGGGAUACUGAUGGUGCCCUCCAGUCCAAAGAUGCCAUGUGGGGUUUAGCUUCACCCCAGAAAAGAAACCGGAUUGACACAGGAAUUGUCUCAAGUUAUCCAAUUGAGAUGCGUUCUGUGCCCCAGUGGCAAAGUAAUGAGCACCAGACCCAGCCACACCCUGAGCGAGAACAGUUUAGCGACUUUCAGUCUCGCCCGCUGCCCCAGCAGCCGCGCUACGAGGCCAGCAAGCCCCAGGCCCAGGCCCGGCCUUUCCCCCAGCAGCCGCGCUACGAGGCCAGCAAGCCCCAGGCCCGGCCUUUCCCCCAGCAGCCGCGCUACGAGGCCAGCAAGCCCCAGGCCCAUCCGCGCAGUGAGGCCAAUUCUCCAAGUGAAGAUGUGCUGCAAAACAAAGCUAGCAUGUGGGACUUGGCUAUUAACUCCAAUGCUGAUCCAAGAAGUUUGAGACCCAUUCAAGUUUCAUCAAGUUAUCUCUACAGCUGGCCACAGCAACAGGCACCCUUCUACAACAGAUAUUAACAAUAGGUUUCUGACCUCACCUGUGAACAGCUGGUUUUGGCUUGGCAUCAGAUUUUGUGAUAUCAAUAAAGUACACAGAACUACACUCCCUGGCUGCUGUUUAAAGCUCCUUUGACCAUGAGUAAGUUCAGUUUUAUGCAUGCUCUCAUGAUAAACUGAGCUGCUCUAUAGAUCUAGGCUUGUACUGUUGCUACCAUAAUGUUGCCUUCCAGUAUACAAACUGAAGCUGUAAGCCCCAAAGACUGUCACAGAAUUGUCUUACAGUUGUGUAGCUUAGCAAAGCAAAUCUGCUUAGCUUGUCUUAAUGUUUCAACAAGUGUUCAGUGUUCACAACCACAAUUUUCACUUCAAGAACAAGGGGUGGAAACAUGGCAGUUUAAUGCCUUCUAUCAAUGGCAAAAAUUACAGUCCACUCAGGACUACAACCAACCAGAUGCUAAACGAAAAAUGGUGGUAGUCUGCCAAGCAGGUGCUCACUAUCAGGGAAAAUUAGGGAUUAGCAUCAACCAAGGCAGCUCAAAGCACAAGCAGCAAUAUAGCUUUGAAAGGUGUGGGUGUCAGUUUUUGGGUCCCAAUUGUGAACUAUGACCAUUCCUUCAACAUCAGUGUCACAUUAGCUGUUCUCUUUUUCUGCCUUAAAGUAAAUUGUCCUAAUGGGCUCAUAUUAAAGUUUGUUUUUAUUCUAUAGAGAUUCUCAUCUCACUAUUCAUGUGCCAUAUUUGUCCUUAUGCAAGAAGACUUGAGUCUUGAGUAUUAAUAUAAAUAUCUCAUGGAUUUAUGAUAUUCAUCAAAUGCUACUUCUUUGUCUUUUCACUUUUCUGCUGCUUCUUGCCCAAACACCGUCCCACCCCUCCUCCUCUCUGAUAGCUGUUAUUAGUUUAGUCGUCUCCAGUUUGGGGAGAUAAUGACAGUGCUGUUUUUUGGACACUGACUUCCUGUGUGUGUGGUGUUUCUCCCUGUCAUUAAGCAGCAAGUCUGUGUGGUUAAAAUGACACAGCUUUGACUGCAGGAAACACUGCCAACUUCACCAUCCGAUCCCAGCUCCAAUAAACUACUCACUGCUGGUUUUCAGCUUUCAUACUGUCUGUUGCUUGUUUGGGGGUUUCAGCAUAUUUUCCUUUACUUGAGUUUUACAAUAAAGAUAUUAUAGAUAUUUUAUAGCACACUGCUUACAGUACACUGUUGUGGUCUUUGCUUUACAUCAAAUGAAAAUGCACUUUAGUCAAAAGCACAUUGCACUUCAUCUGCAGUGACAUAUUUGUUGUAUGGAUCUUUUACUGGACGUCCCACAAUGUCAUUUAUACAGCGCCAAAUCGCAACAACAGUCACCUCAAGGCGCUUUAUAUUGUAAGGUUAACCCUACAAUAAUACAUACAGAGAAAAACCCAACAAUCAUAUGACCCCCUAUGAGCAAGCACUUUGGCAACAGUGGGAAGGAAAAACUCCCUUUUAACAGGAAGAAACCUCCGGCAGAAACUGCAUGAAAGGCUGUGGUUUGCAAGGUACCAGAUGUAAAGCAACCAAGGCAGAUACAGCUGCUUAAAUCAGUCAAACUCUAUUGAACAUUACUUUUCAAAGUGUUUCACAGAUUAUUAAAAAGCUGAUAAAACAAAUGGCAUGCUUUAAUAACGGACAUAGAAUUAACAAC